AAGGAGGAGACUGAUAGCAGGUUUCCAUUAACUGCUGCUCCUACCAACAGUUUUUCAGGAUGAGGCAGCUGCCUGUGCCUGUGAGGCAAAAUUGAGGGAAGUAUGGAGGGACUCACUGCAGCUCGAGUUGCUGUUCUGAGAGAAUAGCAAUAGACCCAAUCAAUUUUUUGUGGUCCUUAAUAUUAACGUCACUCUAAAUGUAACUUUUCCUUUGAUUUCUACAUUAAAAACCUUCUUUGUCCUUGGCCAAUCAGUGAAAAAAAGUCUGUUCACUUCACUUUGU